rnacentral:rRNA from 1 species
UACGAAGGGUGCAAACGUUGCUCGGAAUUAUUGGGCGUAAAGCGCACGUAGGCGGGUCGAUAAGUCGGGGGUGAAAUCCUGGAGCUCAACUCCAGAACUGCCUUCGAAACUGUCGAUCUUGAGUUCGGGAGAGGUGAGUGGAACUGCGAGUGUAGAGGUGAAAUUCGUAGAUAUUCGGAAGAACACCAGUGGCGAAGGCGACUACCUGGCCUGUUUCUUGACGCUGAGGCGCGAAAGCUAGGGGAGCAAACGGG